rnacentral:lncRNA from 1 species
GCAGGGUGAACAGGCCGUGGCUCAGGUGGUUAAUGUUCUGAUGAUCUUCUAGAUGUUAGCAGGGUGAACAGGCAGUGGCUCAGGUGGUUAAUGUUCUGAUGAUCUUCUAGAUGUUAGCAGGGUGAACAGGCAGUGGCUCAGGUGGUUAAUGUUCCUGAUGAUCUUCUAGAUGUUAGCAGGGUGAACAGGCCGUGGCUCAGGUGGUUAAUGUUCUGAUGAUCUUCUAGAUGUUAGCAGGGUGAACAGGCCGUGGCUCAGGUGGUUAAUGUUCCUGAUGAUCUUCUAGAUGUUAGCAGGGUGAACAGGCCGUGGCUCAGGUGGUUAAUGUUCUGAUGAUCUUCUAGAUAUUAGCAGGGUGAACAGGCCGUGGCUCAGGUGGUUAAUGUUCUGAUGAUCUUCUAGAUGUUAGCAGGGUGAACAGGCAGUGGCUCAGGUGGUUAAUGUUCCUGAUGAUCUUCUAGAUGUUAGCAGGGUGAACAGGCCGUGGCUCAGGUGGUUAAUGUUCUGAUGAUCUUCUAGAUGUUAACAGGGUGAACAGGCCGUGGCUCAGGUGGUUAAUGUUCUGAUGAUCUUCUAGAUGUUAGCAGGGUGAACAGGCCGUGG